CUGGGAGGAACCCGAGUCCUGGGGCUCGCUGUCUCUCCUCCGUCCCCUUGGCUGUCCUGACAACUUAUUUAUGGUCUAAGAUGCACUGUCUGAGAUUACACAGCUAGUAAGUAGUGGAUCCAGUAUGGAACAGAGGCCAGUCUGGCUCCAGUGGGCUACUUUCAGCCACCGUGCUCUAUUGCUUAUAGAAAACAUAUCAGGGACUUCCCUGGUGGCGCA